UGUUUCUAACACUCCUAGUGGUGUCACUGACUUCGUGUGUCACAAUCCUUCUAGUGUCUCUGCCUGCCUGUGUCACAACCUCUCUGGUAUCUUUUAGUUCCUGUGUCAGACUACCUUGUUGUUUCUGAAUUCGUUUCACACUCCCACUUCUUUCUCUGAGUGCAUGUGUCACAGUCCCUCUGCCGUCUAUUUCUUCAAUGUGUUACACUACCAAUGGCGUCUCUGACUUUGUUUGUCACACUCCACAUGGUGUCUCUGACUUUGUGUGUAACACUCCACAUGGGUUUUCUUACUUUGUAACACACCACAUAUCUGUUUUCGUUUGUUACACUCCUCCUCGUGUCUAUGAUUUCAUGUGUAACACCCCAAUAUUCCUUUCUGAUUUCGUGUGUGAUACUGCACCUGUUGUCUCUGGUUUCGUGUUUCACACUUCCCAAAGUGUCUAUGACUUCUUCCGUCACUCACACCCUGGUGUCUCUGACUUCCUGUGUAACUCUACCCCUGGCAUUUCUGACUUUGUGUGUCACACUCACCCUGGCACAUCAGACUUCAUGUCUAACAAUUCCCGUGUUGUUUCUGGGUUAGUGUGUAACACUCCUCCUGGCACCUCUGAAUUCAUCUGUAACAGUCAAUUUGGCAUCUCUGACUUCGUGUGUCACAAUGCCUCUGGCAUCUGUGACUUUGUGUGUCACACUCUCUGUGGCAUCUCUGAUAUCCUGCUUUACUCUACCCAUGGUCUUUCUGAAUUCAUGCAUAACACUCCUCCUGGCAUCUCCAACUUUGUGUGUAACACACAACUGUGGCAUCUCAGACUUUGUGCAUAAAACUCCCCCAGGCAUCACUGACUUUGUAUGUUACACUCCCCUGGCAUCUCUGAAUUCCUGUGUCGUAGUACCCCUGACUUCUCUGAUUUCAUGUGUAACACUCCCCAUAGUGUUUGUGACAUCAUUUGUCACACUCUCCCUGGCAUCACACAGACUUCAUUUGUAACAAUCUACAUGGUGUCUCUGAGUUCUCAUGUAACACUCCCCUGACAUCUAUGACUUCAUAUGUAAUACUUCACCUGGCUUCACUGACUUCAUGUAUCACACUCCCUCGGGUGUCUGUGACUUCAUGUGUUGCACACUCUGGCAUCUCUGCCUUCGUGUAUCACACUCCCCCAGGCGUCACUGACUUCAUGUCUCACACUGCCCCUCACGUCUCUGACAUCAUGCAUCUCAUUCUCCCUGGUGUCUUUAACUUCGUUUGUAACUCUCAGACUGUCACCUCUGAUUCCAUGUGUAACAUUCCAGGUGGCCUCUCUGGCAUCGUGUGUAACACUCCGUCUGGCAUCUCUGAUGUUGUGUGAAACAUUCCCUGUGAUGUCUGACUUCAAGGGUCACACUCGACAUGUCAUUAUUGACUCUGUGUGUCACACACCACUGUUGUCUCCAACUUAGCAUGUAACAUUCACUGUUGCAUCUCUGAUUUUGUGUGUCACAGCCCCCUGGGGUUUCUGACUUCAUGAGUUACACUUCACCUGUUGUCUCUGACUUCCUGUGUCACACUCCACGUGGCAUUUCUUCCUUUGUGUAUUACACUGCCCUGUGUCAUCUUGGACUUUGUGUGUAACGCUCCACCUGAUAUCUCUGACUUCGUGUGUUACACUUCAUGGGGCACCUCAGACUUUGGUACACACCCCCGGGUGUCUCUGAUUCAUGUGUAACACUCCACAAGACCUUUCCACCUUUGAGUGUAACACUCAUCCUUGGAGUUUUGGACAACUUAUGUAACACUCACACUGUCAUCUCUGAUAACGUGUGUCAAACUUCCCCAGAUGUUUCUUACGUUGAGUGUAAGACUCCAUGAUGUGUCUGACUUUGUGUGUCACAAUCCACCUGGCAUCUCUAGCUUCCUGUUUCACCCUACCCCUAACGUCUCUGACUUUGCAUGUAGCACUCACUGUGGCACAUCUCAUUUUGUGUGUCACAAUCUGCCUGGCAUCUUUAACUUCAGGUGUCACACUUCCUUUGUCACCUCUGACUUUGGUACACUUCCUGUGGCAGCUCUACUUCGUUUGUCACAUUUCCUCUGGUGUCUCUGACUUUGUGUGCCACACUCCUGGAGGCAUCUCUGAUGCUGUAUGUAACACACUACCCCUUGUGUCUCUGAAUUCAUGCAUCACACUGCCCCAGCCGUCUAUACCUUUGUGUCCAACACUCCCAGUGGAGUCUCUGACUUUGUGUAUAACACUCUACCUGGGGUGUCUGGAUUUGUGUGUAACAUUCCCCAUGGUGUCUCUAACUUCAAGGUUCACACUUGACCUAUCAUCUCUGACUUCGUGUGUCACACUACACUUGGUGUCUCUGAAUUCAUGUGCAACACACUUGGUGUAUCUGUCUUCAUGUGGCACAUUCCCAAUGGCGUCUCUAACUUCCUGUGUUACACUCCACAUUGCGUUUCUGCCGUCAUGUGUAAAACUCCCCCAGGCCCCAUGUAACACUCCCCCAUGUUGUCCCGGACUCCGUAUGUAACACUCCAUGUGGCAUCUCUGACUUUGUCACACACCCCAUUUGGUCUCUGACUUCGUGUGUCACCCUCUCCCUGGUGUCUUUGAGUUUGUGUGUAACACUUGCCCUGGUUCUCUGACUUCGUGCGUUACACUCCACCUGGUGAAUUUGACUUCAUGCGUAACACUCCCCAUGGCAUCCCUGAAAUCAUAAAACUCCCCCUGUAUCUCUGACUUCGUGUGUAACACUCCCACUGGCAUGUCUGACUUCUUGUGUCACAUUCCCCCUGGCCUCUUGGACUUCGUGUGUAACACUCUACAAUGUGUCUCUGCCUUCAUGUGUCAUACACUUCCUGGCAUUUUGAACUGCAUGUGUAACACCAUGGCAUCUCUGAUUUUCUUUAUAACACUCCCCCUGGUGUCUGACUUCCUGUAACACCACACACGGCGUCUCUGACUUGGUGGGUAACACUUGCCCUGGCAUCUCUGACUUCGUGUUUAACACUCCACCUGUAGUCUCUGAAUUCCAGUGUAAUUCUCCCUAUGGUGUGUCAGACUGCAUGUGUCACACUUCCCCUCCCAUCUAUAACUUCUUGUGUUACACUCCUACAUGUGUUCUCACUUCAGGUGUAACAUUCCAGGUGGCAUCUGUGACUUCCCAUGUCAUACUCGAUCUUUCAACUGUCACUUCCAGUGUCACACUCACUGUGGGGUCUCUGAAUGCCUGAUUAACAGUCCCCCUGUGUGUUUGACUUCCUGCCUAACACUGCCCUGUGGUAUCUCUGACUUUGUCUGUAAUAGUGCCCCUGGCAUCACAGAAUUUUUGUGUAGCACACUACAUGGCUUUUCUGACUUCAUGUAUAAGAUUCCCUCAGAUGUCUCUGACUUUGUGUGUAAAACUACACGUGCUAUUUCUUCCUUUGUGUGUAAAACUUUCCCGUGGCAUCUGUGACUUCAUGUGUAAAACUCCCCAGGCAUCUCUGACUAGUUGUGUAAUACUCCCACUGACGUCUCUGGAUUCAUGUCUCACAGUCCCGCUGCCAUCUCUGACUUCAUGUGUAACAUUCCCUGUGGCAUCUCUGACUUUGCGUGUAACGAUUGCCCUGGUGACUCUGUUUUCACGUGUAACACUUCCCAUGCCAUCUUGAUUUCAUGUCUAACAUGUCCCCUGGCCUCUCUGACUUUGUGUGAAAUACUCCCCCUGGUGUCUUUGACUUCAUUUGUAAAAACACCCUUGGUGUCUCUGACUUUGUGUCACACUCCUCCAGUGUUCUCUGCUCUUGUUUGUCACAAUACACCUGAUGUCUCUGAUUUCAUGUGUAACACUCCCCAUGCUGAGUCUGCUUUCGUGUGUAACACUCCCUGUGGCAUUUCUGACUUUGUCUGUAACAGUCACCCUGGUGUCUCUGACUUCAUGUGUAACACUUCCUGUGAUGUCUCUGACUUCUUGUCUAACUCUUCCCUUUGCCUCUCUGACUUCUUGUAUAACAUUCCAGGCGGCAUCUCUGAUUUCUUGUGUCACACACCCCUGGCAUCUCUGACUUUGUGUCCCAAUACCCACCAUGUCGAGGACUUCAUAUGUGACAUUCCAUGUAGCAUCUCUGACUUGUGUAACACUACCCCUGGUUUCUGCGACACUGUGUGUAACAGCCCAUGUGGCUUCUUUAAAUUUGUGAGUAAUACUCAGAGGGGUGUCUGUGUAUUCACGCAUAACGUUUCCUCUGGCAUCAGCGACUUCGUAUGUAACACUCCCCAUGGCGUCUCCUACUUCGUGUUUCACAAUUCCCCUGGCAUCUCUGAAAUCAAGUGUAACACUCAUCAUAUCCUCUUGUACUUCAUGUGUAACUCUACCCAUGGCGUCUCUGAGUUCAUGUGUAAUACAACAUAUUGUUUCUCUGACUUCCUGUGUAACACUCCACAUUGCAUCUGUGACUUCUUCUGUGACACUCCCCAUGGUGUCUGUGCCUUCAUGUUUCCCAGUCACCCUGGUGUCUCUGACUUAGUGUAACAAUCACCUUCGUCUUUCUGACUUUGUGUGUAACACUCUUUCUGGUGUGUUUCACCUUGUGCAUAAUACUCCAAUGUGAUGUCUUUCCUCUUGUGACUAACACUCCACCUGGUGUCAGUGAGUUAGUGUAUCACACUCCCCCUGUGGACUUUGUUUUUUACUCUACCCCUCAUUUCUUUGACUUCGUUUGUAAUGCUCCCCCUGGCAUCUCUUAAUUCGUGUGUCACACUGCCCCUGGUGUCUCUGAGUCUGUGGGUAAUAUUCCCCAUGACGUCUCUGACUUCAUGUGUCACACACCAACUGUCACCUCUGACUUCGUGUGCAACACUCCCCUUGGUGUCUCUGACUUCCUGUGCCCCACACACCCUGGCUUCUCUGUCUUCUAGUCUAACACUCCAUUUGGUCUUUCUGACUUCCUGCAUAACACUACCCCUAGCAUCUCGGACUCUGUGUGUAUCACUCCACCUGGUAUCUGAAUUCAUGCGUAACACACCCCCACUCAGUUCUGACUUUGUGUGUAACACUCCCCCUGGCGUCUUUGACUUCAUGAGUAACACUUCCUGUGUCACCUCUGAUUUUGUGUAUCACAGUCCCAGUGGCGUCUCUGACUUGUUGUGUAACACUCCCCUUAGUGUCUCUGACUUUGUGUGUAACACUCCAUGUUACAUUUGUGACUUCCUGUGUGAUACUCCCACUGGUGUCUCUCACUUAAUGUGUAACACUCCACAUGGCGUUUCUGCUUUCAUCUGUAACACUCUGCCGUGGAAUCCUAGACAUCACGUGUCACACAUCACCUUGUACCUCUGACUUGGUGAGUCACUUUCCAGCUGGUGUCCCUGACUUUGUGUGUCAACACUACCACUGGCUUCUCUAGCUUUGUGUAUAAAGCAACACGUGGCAUCUUUGACACCAUGCGUCUCUCCACCAGGCAUCUCAAACUUCAUGUCUAACAUUCCACAUGGCAUCUCUGACCUCAUGUGUCACAAUCCACCUGGCAUCUUUAAUUUCAUGAUUCACAGUACCCCUCACAUCUCUGACUUUGUGUGUAACACUCACCAUUGCAUCUCUGACUACAUGUGUCACUCUCCCCAUGGUGUUUCUGACUUCAUGUAUCAAACUUCGCAUGGCAUCUCCUACUUCGUGUGUAAAACACUCCCUUGUGUCUCUGACUUCCAGUGUAACAGUACCCCUGUCAUCUCUGUAUUUGUGUGUCACACCUCACCUAGCAUCUCUGACUUUGUAUAUCACACUCUCCCUGGUGAUUAUGACUUACUGUGCAACACACCUGGUGGCUUCUCUGACUUCAUGUGUCACACUUCCCCUUGUGUUUCUGAGUUUGUGUGAUAUGCUACCCCUGUCAUCUAUAACUUCGUGUGUAACACUCCCCCUGACAUCUCUGAAUUUGUGUGUAACAUUCCCUACGGGGUCUGUGACUUUGAGGGUCACAUUCAACCUGUUGUCUCUGACUUCCUGUGUCACACUAUCCCUGAUGUUUCUGACUUUGUGUGCAACACUCCCAAUUGUACCUCUGACUUCCUCUGCCACACUACCAAUGGUGUCU
rnacentral:lncRNA from 1 species